CAGCCGCCACGGUAAUACGAAGGGGGCUAGCGUUGCUCGGAAUGACUGGGCGUAAAGGGCGCGUAGGCGGUUCUGCAAGUUAGAUGUGAAAUUCCUGGGCUUAACCUGGGGGCUGCAUUUGAUACUGUGGGGCUUGAGUAUGGAAGAGGGUCGUGGAAUUCCCAGUGUAGAGGUGAAAUUCGUAGAUAUUGGGAAGAACACCGGUGGCGAAGGCGGCGACCUGGUCCAUAACUGACGCUGAGGCGCGAAAGCGUGGGGAGCAAACAGGAUUAGAUACCCCCGUAGUCCCUGUCUCUUAUAC
rnacentral:rRNA from 1 species